UUAGAUCUGUGGCUGCCUAUAUAAACAGAGCAGUUUCCUACUGGCAGGGCUUGCAGUAACAUCACCUGGCUGCAAGACUUCAUGAAACAUCCUGGAGGAGAGUGCUCAAGUACCAGACCAUGGGCUAGGCAGAAACAAAUUCUUCUUUCAUCCUCAUCUUGAAGCUGACCCAUUGAGGAGUCAAGAGGGAAAAAGAUGAGGGGACAAAGGGAAAAAACAAGAAGGAGCCUGACACUAGCCCAGUGAUGUGCAUACUGCCUGGGGAAGAAGGAAAAGUUUGGUUUUAGCCUCUGUCCUCAGCUUCCAAAGUUGCUUAUACAAUUUAUCCAAUGACUAUUUAAUGUAAAAAAAAAACCCCAAACAGCAAUGGGAAGAGGAGCAGACAUCUACACAUUAACCUUUUUUGUUUAAAUAAAUUCAAAAGCAAUUCAUUGUAUAAACAAACUUGUCUUAAGUGCAGCAUAUUGUAAAAAUGGUUGCUUAAAAGGUGAUUAUGUCCUAAACAAAGGUAGAGCACAAUUAAUUUAGGAUUGGGAAUCGCUGAAUGGAAUUUCACUAGACAAGAGGCUGCCUAAUAAAACUGAUCUUCUGUACUAGUGUCUCUGCUUUUGUUAUUAGAUUCUACAAUAAGGGUUCAACUUUGACAAAAACAAUCCUUUACUAUUCUGUACUUACUUUUUUUCUCAGAGUCUGACAUAAACAUCACUGCCAUAUCAAAUCUUUUUAAUUCAGACAGCCGCUGGAGAAUGUCAAGUGUGAUGGAUGGCUCUUCUUUCCUAAAAUAA